AUACGUAGGGAGCGAGCGUUGUCCGGAAUUACUGGGCGUAAAGGGCGCGUAGGCGGCGCUUCAAGUCGUCUGUCAAAUGGGAGGGCUUAACCCUUUUUCGCAGACGAAACUGGAGAGCUUGAGAAGCAGAGAGGCAAACAGAAUUCCUGGUGUAGCGGUGAAAUGCGUAGAUAUCAGGAAGAAUACCAGUGGCGAAGGCGGUUUGCUGGCUGCAUGCUGACGCUGAAGCGCGAAAGCCAGGGGAGCGAACGGGAUUAGAUACCCCGGUAGUCCUGGCAGUAAACGAUGUAUGCUGGGUGUGAGACUAGCGAUAGUUUCGUGCCGAAGUUAACGCGAUAAGCAUACCGCCUGGGGAGUACGGUCGCAAGAUUGAAGCUCAAAUGAAUUGACGGGG
rnacentral:rRNA from 1 species